rnacentral:rRNA from 1 species
AACGGUAACAGGGGCUUCGGCCCGCUGACGAGUGGCGGACGGGUGAGUAAUGCAUCGGAACGUACCCAGUUGUGGGGGAUAGCCCGGCGAAAGCCGGAUUAAUACCGCAUACGCCCUGAGGGGGAAAGCGGGGGAUCUUAGGACCUCGCGCAAUUGGAGCGGCUGAUGUCGGAUUAGCUAGUUGGUGGGGUAAAGGCCUACCAAGGCGACGAUCCGUAGCUGGUCUGAGAGGAUGAUCAGCCACACUGGGACUGAGACACGGCCCAGACUCCUACGGGAGGCAGCAGUGGGGAAUUUUGGACAAUGGGGGAAACCCUGAUCCAGCCAUGCCGCGUGAGUGAAGAAGGCCUUCGGGUUGUAAAGCUCUUUCAGGUGGAAAGAAAUGGUGCUCUCUAAUAUAGGGCAUUGAUGACGGUACCACCAGAAGAAGCACCGGCUAACUACGUGCCAGCAGCCGCGGUAAUACGUAGGGUGCGAGCGUUAAUCGGAAUUACUGGGCGUAAAGCGUGCGCAGGCGGUUGUGUAAGACAGGUGUGAAAUCCCCGGGCUUAACCUGGGAACUGCGCUUGUGACUGCACGGCUAGAGUACGGCAGAGGGGGGUGGAAUUCCACGUGUAGCA